rnacentral:rRNA from 1 species
UUUCUGUUAAGGGAAUGAGGAGGAAGACGCAGUGAACUGAAACAUCUAAGUAGCUGCAGGAAGAGAAAGCAAAAGCGAUUGCCUUAGUAGCGGCGAGCGAAGAGGCAGGAGGGCAAACCGAAGAGUUUACUCUUCGGGGUUGUAGGACUGCGCUGUGGACUCAGAAUUUAUAGAAGAAUGACUUGGGAAAGUCAGCCAAAGAGAGUAAGAGCCUCGUAUUUUAAAUAGAUUCUGUACCUAGCAGUAUCCUGAGUACGGCGGGACACGUGAAAUCCCGUCGGAAUCUGGGAGGACCAUCUCCCAACCCUAAAUACUCCCUAGUGACCGAUAGUGAACCAGUACCGUGAGGGAAAGGUGAAAAGCACCCCGGGAGGGGAGUGAAAUAGAACCUGAAACCGUGUGCCUACAACAAGUUCGAGCCCGUUCAUGGGUGAGAGCGUGCCUUUUGUAGAAUGAACCGGCGAGUUACGUUAUGAUGCGAGGUUAAGUUGAAGAGACGGAGCCGUAGGGAAACCGAGUCUGAAUAGGGCGCUUUAGUAUCAUGAUGUAGACCCGAAACCAUGUGACCUACCCAUGAGCAGGUUGAAGGUGCGGUAAAACGCACUGGAGGACCGAACCAGGGCACGUUGAAAAGUGCUUGGAUGACUUGUGGGUAGCGGAGAAAUUCCAAACGAACUUGGAGAUAGCUGGUUCUCUCCGAAAUAGCUUUAGGGCU